GACGGGGGGGGCAAGUGUUAUUCGGAAUUACUGGGCGUAAAGCGCACGUAGGCGGCUUUGUAAGUUAGAGGUGAAAGCCUGGAGCUCAACUCCAGAAUUGCCUUUAAGACUGCAUCGCUCGAAUCCAGGAGAGGUGAGUGGAAUUCCGAGUGUAGAGGUGAAAUUCGUAGAUAUUCGGAAGAACACCAGUGGCGAAGGCGGCUCACUGGACUGGUAUUGACGCUGAGGUGCGAAAGCGUGGGGAGCAAACAGG
rnacentral:rRNA from 1 species